GACAGAGGGGGCAAGCGUUGCUCGGAAUUACUGGGCGUAAAGGGCGCGUAGGCGGGAUGGCAAGUCGGUCGUGAAAUCCCUCGGCUCAACCGAGGAACGUCGAUCGAUACUGCUGUUCUUGAGGAUUGCAGAGGAGACUGGAAUUCCCGGUGUAGCGGUGAAAUGUGUAGAGAUCGGGAGGAACACCGGUGGCGAAGGCAGCCUCCUGGGCCAACACUGACGCUCAUGCACGAAAGCGUGGGGAGCAAACAGG
rnacentral:rRNA from 1 species